rnacentral:rRNA from 1 species
AGAACCUUACCUGGGCUUGACAUGCACUGGAAACCAGUAGAGAUAUUGGCCCCCUUGUGGCCGGUGUACAGGUGGUGCAUGGCUGUCGUCAGCUCGUGUCGUGAGAUGUUGGGUUAAGUCCCGCAACGAGCGCAACCCUCGUUCCAUGUUGCCAGCGCGUUAUGGCGGGGACUCAUGGGAGACUGCCGGGGUCAACUCGGAGGAAGGUGGGGAUGACGUCAAGUCAUCAUGCCCCUUAUGUCCAGGGCUUCACACAUGCUACAAUGGCCGGUACAAAGGGCUGCUAAGCCGUGAGGUGGAGCGAAUCCCAUAAAGCCGGUCUCAGUUCGGAUCGGGGUCUGCAACUCGACCCCGUGAAGUCGGAGUCGCUAGUAAUCGCAGAUCAGCAACGCUGCGGUGAAUACGUUCCCGGGCCUUGUCACACCGA